GUAAUGUUUUAUUUUAUACAUGAUAAAUUGAUAUUGGAAACAAACAUUCGAUAAACAAUUGCUGUACGUUAUAAAUUAUGAUGACUUACCAAGUAGACGAGUGAAAUACAUGUUUGCUUCGUAAUAAAACUGUAUAUUUUUUAUGUGUUUUCACGUUACAUAGUCAUGUUUGUCGUAUGUUGUUGAUUCAGUUGUCAAUAAAACAUGAAUAAUUUUGUUGCCGUAUUAAUUUUUCUGAUUUCAUAAUAAAAUAUUUAAAACAAACCAUAAAGAGAUAAGGUAGGUGUUCAUAAAUUAUUACUUUUUAAUUUUUAGCAAUAAUAAGUUAUUACCUAAUAGAAAAACCGAUACUGUAUUAGUGUUUACAUAAAAAUUGUACUUAAUUAUUAAUGGAUUUACUUUGGUUUAAAUCGUCAAUAUGUAACUACCAAAUAAAUUGCAAAAUAUUUUAAAUAGGUGGGUGGGUACUUAAUUACAACUCUCAACCUCGUCUAUUAGAUACCUAUGUCACUGCUUACUGUCAUUACUCGUCUUGUCCUGUUAACCUCUUAUCCUAUUUCUCCAACUCAUAUUAUAUAGUACAUAAUAUUUGCAAAUAUUAUAAACAUUAACAAACAAGAUAAGAGCAAUCGUUAGUCAUUUUAAUCGAAGUUCGUCAGCACAGCAUGAAUUAGAUAAGAAACGAGAAAAAUGUAUCGAAAGUAAAAAUAAACUAAUCCAAAACUGUGUAGCUAGGUGGAAUUCUGCGAGUAUAAUGAUUAAUAAAUGUAUUUUACGACACCGAGUUUCAAUUAAUAACGUAAUAUUCAAAAAUAGAAAAAUGGAUACAUGGUUUAUAAUUAUCAUGUCUGAUGAAUGUAAACGUGUUAGAACCGUUUCAAUCAAUUACCUACUGAAACAUUGGGAGGUGAAAAAAAAUUUGUAAUUGAGUCAAUUGUCAAUCAGUUAACAAAGUCUUUGAAAUUGCAUGCAAGAAAAAGACAAUUUACAAUCUCAAACGAUUUGAAGAAAAAAUCAGAUGUGCAUUAGCAUAUCAAAAGCUUCAGGUCCAGUGUUGAAUUCAGACAAUUUUUCUAGGAGGGGCAUUAAUAAAAUUAUAGUUAUGAACUUUUUUUUGUGCUUAUCUACCCUCUUACUAAGACCAGUAAAAUUUGUUUAAUUAUUAAUUUACCUAUAUUUAACAGGGAGGGCAAAAAAAAUUCUCCCAUCAUCCUGAGAUAUACCUGGGUUCAAAAUUGUUCAGCUCUUAAUCCUAGAUAAUAUAGUACGAAUUUCAAUUUUCAUCGGAUGACCAAAAAACUUCAACAGGGAACAGUUAGAAAAUGAAUUUAAAGAAUACGAAGUGAUUCCAAUAACAGAAAUAAAUUCAGAUGAAGAAGAACCAAUUGAAACACCUACAAAAGAAUACAAUCUCUUAUAGCCGACAGUGAAGAAAAAAAAGAAAACGAAGGAAAUUAACUACAUACUUCUAUAUUUAUAAAAGUAUGACAGAUAAAAUAGGUCAUAAUCAAGAUCCAUUAUUAUGAUGGAUAUACAAUGAGAAAAAUGUCCUAUAGUUUCACAGAUGGCAAACAAAUAUUUAAGUGUAAUAGCAACAAGUGUUCCUUGUGAACGUUUGUUUAGUUAAGCUGGUUAAGAUGUUACCAAACGAAGAAAUCGGUUAUCAUCAGACAGAGUCAAUUAACAACUUUUUUGAGUUCAUACUUAAAUGAAAAACCAGAUAACCAGAUAACAUAAUGGUAUAAAAAAACUAUUAAUAAUAAUAUAUUUUAGCUAAAUUCUUAUUAAUUUAUGCAUAUUUUCAGGAAGCAAUUAUAAAAAACUCAAAGGUAUCUAUGAUAGAUUCAAGAUUGGUAGAUGAAAAAUAAAUAAUGUACCUG
rnacentral:lncRNA from 1 species